GAUGAACGCUAGCUACAGGCUUAACACAUGCAAGUCGAGGGGUAACGAGAGGAAAGCUUGCUUUCCUUGUCGACGACCGGCGCACGGGUGAGUAACGCGUAUCCAACCUGCCCCCAACUAGGGAAUAACCUUGCGAAAGUAAGACUAAUACCCUAUAAUUUCCUCAGAUGUCAUCUGACGAGGAAUAAAGAUUUAUCGGUUGUGGAUGGGGAUGCGUCUGAUUAGCUUGUUGGCGGGGUAACGGCCCACCAAGGCAACGAUCAGUAGGGGUUCUGAGAGGAAGGUCCCCCAAAUUGGAGCUGUGACACGGUCCAAACUCCUGCGGGAGGAAGCAGUGGGGAAUAUUGGUCAAUGGGCGGAAGCCUGAACCAGCCAAGUAGCGUGCAGGAUGACGGCCCUAUGGGUUGUAAACUGCUUUUAUACAGGAAUAAAGUUAGCCACGUGUGGUUAUUUGUAGGUACUGUAUGAAUAAGGACCGGCUAAUUCCGUGCCAGCAGCCGCCGUAA
rnacentral:rRNA from 1 species